AUGCUACUCAUCACAUCAAUGUUGGUCUUAUGGAUGCAAUUGUCACAGGUGAAUGGACAACAGGUAAUGCAAAUUCCUCAGUACCAGCAUGUACAAGAAGGAGAGGACUUCACCACGUACUGCAAUUCCUCAACUACUUUAAGCAAUAUACAGUGGUAUAAGCAAAGGCCUGGUGGACAUCCCGUUUUUUUGAUACAGUUAGUGAAGAGUGGAGAAGUGAAGAAGCAGAAAAGACUGACAUUUCAGUUUGGAGAAGCAAAAAAGAACAGCUCCCUGCACAUCACAGCCACCCAGACUACAGAUGUAGGAACCUACUUCUGUGCAGGG